rnacentral:rRNA from 1 species
AGGGUUUGAUUAUGGCUCAGGAUGAACGCUAGCGACAGGCUUAACACAUGCAAGUCGAGGGGCAGCACAGGUAGCAAUACCGGGUGGCGACCGGCGCACGGGUGAGUAACGCGUAUGCAACUUGCCUAUCAGAGGGGGAUAACCCGGCGAAAGUCGGACUAAUACCGCAUGAAGCAGGGAUCCCGCAUGGGAAUAUUUGCUAAAGAUUCAUCGCUGAUAGAUAGGCAUGCGUUCCAUUAGGCAGUUGGCGGGGUAACGGCCCACCAAACCGACGAUGGAUAGGGGUUCUGAGAGGAAGGUCCCCCACAUUGGUACUGAGACACGGACCAA